GCAGGUCAGCAUACUGCCGUGAAUACGUUCCCGGGCCUUGUACACACCGCCCGUCACACCAUGAGAGUCGGGAACACCCGAAGUCCGUAGUCUAACCGCAAGGGGGGCGCGGCCGAAGGUGGGCCCGGUAAUUGGGGUGAAGUCGUAACAAGGUAGC
rnacentral:rRNA from 1 species